rnacentral:rRNA from 1 species
UGGGGAAUAUUGGACAAUGGGCGCAAGCCUGAUCCAGCAAUGCCGCGUGUGUGAAGAAGGCCUGCGGGUUGUAAAGCACUUUCAAUCGUGAAAAAAGCUCAUGGUUAAUACCCAUGAGUCUUGAUGUUAACGAUACAAGAAGCACCGGCUAACUCCGUGCCAGCAGCCGCGGUAAUACGGAGGGUGCGAGCGUUAAUCGGAAUUACUGGGCGUAAAGAGCACGUAGGCGGCUUGGUCAGUCGGAUGUGAAAGCCCCGGGCUUAACCUGGGAAUUGCACUCGAUACUGCCAAGCUAGAGUUUAGUAGAGGAAUGCGGAAUUCCGGGUGUAGCGGUGAAAUGCGUAGAGAUC